rnacentral:rRNA from 1 species
CCUACGGGAGGCAGCAGUAGGGAAUCUUCCACAAUGGGCGAAAGCCUGAUGGAGCAACGCCGCGUGGGUGAAGAAGGUCUUCGGAUCGUAAAACCCUGUUGUUAGAGAAGAAAGUGCGUGAGAGUAACUGUUCACGUUUCGACGGUAUCUAACCAGAAAGCCACGGCUAACUACGUGCCAGCAGCCGCGGUAACACGUAGGUGGCAAGCGUUAUCCGGAUUUAUGGGGCGUAAAGGGAACGCAGGCGGUCUUUUAAGUCUGAUGUGAAAGCCUUCGGCUUAACCGGAGUAGUGCAUUGGAAACUGGGAGACUUGAGUGCAUAAGAGGAGAGUGUAACUCCAUGUGUAGCGGUGAAAUGCGUAGAUAUAUGGAAGAACACCAGUGGCGAAAGCGGCUCUCUGGUCUGUAACUGACGCUGAGGUUCGAAAGCGUGGGUAGCAAACAGGAUUAGAUACCCCUGUAGUC